UGAAGGGAUGCAUGUAAAUGGUACGAAUAAGGGUGGUAACACUGUUCCUAUGUCUGGGAAUGGUUAACCUACUUAGUUGGAAUGUGAGGGGGCUUAAUGAUCCUAAUAAGCAAAAAAAAGUUAAGCUCCUUUGAAAUGAUGAAAAGGUGAGUAUGAUAGGCUUACUUGAAACAAAAAUAAAAAGGGAGAAACUUGAUCAAUUAGCAAA
rnacentral:lncRNA from 1 species